rnacentral:lncRNA from 1 species
AUCCCUGAUUAGUCCUGAUGGAUGGCUCUGGGAGUUUAGCAUGUCAUGUAACUGCUCAGGGACAGGCGACCAGAUUAUCUGACUGUUAAAAGUAAAAACACCAACAAGGGAUGCUCAGGGUUCCUCAUCACACACGAAGAGAGGAGAAGCAGCAUCCUUGGUGGAUCACAUCUACUAUGAUCUGGAAACAUCUGGGUGCCAAGGAGCAAAAUAAUCCAGGAGGCAUAGCUUUGGAAGGAAACACCAAAAGCAGGGAGACCACCAGCUCACUGCAAGGAACAUUCAUGGUUAAGGAAAGAAAAUCUGCAAGGGUCAGUAGGGCUGGAAAAUUCUGGAAGACAAGAGGAUGGAAAAGGAGAGCAAGAGUAGAAAGAAGCCAUGGAGGCAGAAGAUGAAGAGAUUAG